ACGAGUUUGAUCCUGGCUCAGGAUGAACGCUGGCGGCGUGCCUAAUACAUGCAAGUCGAACGAGGUGCUUGAGUAGCAAUACAAGAGUAUCCUAGUGGCGAACGGGUGAGUAACGCGUGGAUGACCUGCCCCAAAGUGUGGGAUAACAGUCCGAAAGGAUUGCUAAUACCUCAUGUGGUUAUCGGAUUUAGAAACUGAUAACUAAAGCAGCAAUGCGCUUUGGGAGGGAUCUGCGUCCCAUCAGCUAGUUGGUGAGGUAAUGGCUCACCAAGGCGACGACGGGUAGGGGACCUGAGAGGGUGGCCCCCCACAAUGGAACUGAAACACGGUCCAUACACCUACGGGUGGCAGCAGUAGGGAAUAUUGCUCAAUGGGCGAAAGCCUGAAGCAGCAACGCCGCGUGUGCGAUGAAGGCCUUCGGGUCGUAAAGCACUUUUCUACGAGAUGAGAAAGGACAGUAUCGUAGGAAUAAGUCUCGGCUAACUACGUG
rnacentral:rRNA from 1 species